AUAAAGUUUUAUUCUUACUUAAAUAUUUAUUAUUUGAAUAUUUUACAUGUAAAUUUUUGUGUGAUAUUAUGAAAUCUAAAUGAUUAUGUUGUUAUUCGCAGUAUUUAAUAUUAAUAAUUAGGGCAAUUUAGAAUUAGUAAUUUGAUGUAUGGUCGACAAAAGUCGUGCCAGCAGUCGCGGUUAUACGUAGGAUUUAAAUAAAUAUUAUUAGUGUUGAAGUUAAUUGAUUUAUAUUGUAAAUUUGUAAUUGAUUUUAAAAGGUGGAAUUUGAAAAUUAAAUAUAUUUUAUUAGGUGAUGAAGCUUUGAAAUUUAAAUUUUAAACUAGGAUUAGAUACCCUAUUAUUUUUAAAUAUAAAUAGAUUACACUUGAGUAGUAAUAGUUAAGUUCUUGAAACUCAAAGAAUUUGGCGGUGUUUUAGUCUUUUCAGAGGAAUCUGUCCUGUAAUUGAUAAUACACAUUAUAUUUUAUUUAAUUUUGUAAUGUCAGCUUGUAUACCGCCGUCGUAAGAUUAUCUUUUAAGAGGAAUAAUUUUCUGGUACUUAAAAUAAAGGAUAUGUCAGGUCAAGGUGCAGUUUAUAAUUAAGGAGAGAUGGAUUACAAUAAAGGGAAUUUAUAUGGACAUUACAUUGAAAUAAGUAAUUAAAGGUGGAUUUGAAAGUAAUAUUGUUAUAUUAUGAUAAUAUGAUUGUAGCUCUAAAACAUGCACACAUCGCCCGUCGCUCUCAUUAUUUAAGAUGAGAUAAGUCGUAACAUAGUAGAUGUACUGGAAAGUGUAUCUAGAAUAUC
rnacentral:ncRNA from 1 species